rnacentral:rRNA from 1 species
UUCGGAAUGACAUUGGUAAAGGAAAGUGGCGGACGGGCGAGUAACGCGUGAGUAACCUGCCCAUAAGAGAGGGAUAAUCCAUGGAAACGUGGACUAAUACCUCAUAUUGAAUGUUAAUCGCAUGAUUGACAUUUGAAAGAUUUAUCGCUUAUGGAUGGACUCGCGUCAGAUUAGAUAGUUGGCGGGGUAACGGCCCACCAAGUCGACGAUCUGUAGCCGAACUGAGAGGUUGAUCGGCCGCAUUGGGACUGAGAUACGGCCCAGACUCC